GGUCGUCCCGAGUGGCUGGACAAAAUGCAAACGUGGCAACAAACGGCGUUCGUACUCCUUCCAUGUACAAGUCGUUUUUCUUUUAAAACACGAUUCAUUCCCAAAUAAAGCAAAACCCAGCAUUCCAACACGAUUCAGUCACAUUUCGUUCUCCCCCAAAAUCAAAUUCUCUCGAACCCUAGAUCACGUUGGGAAGAAAUUAUAAUCCGGGAUUCACCGUCCCCAACAUCACAACAGAAAGUCCUGUUCGAAUCCACCCCAAACUUCACAAUCAAAAUCCAGUUACCAAAACCCAGAACAUACGAAGAAAGUCACACGAACCCAAUCAAGUUUCGCGCAAGUGAUAUGGUAGGGAAGAACAGAGGCGUUUCUCAUAGUUGUAGGAAGUUUGGGCAUUUUUUGUCGAAUUGUCCAACAAAAUAAUGUUGCCUAAAAUGUAGCUAGGGCAUCGAGAAUGUAUGGGGGUGGAGAGAAGUACGUCAAACAUAGGCCGAUUGUUCCUUUUCUGUACUUUUGAUUGUGGUAAUCUUAAUUGGCAAGAUGAAGAUGCGUCUAGUAGGGAAAAGGCUAUAGACCUGAUUGAAAAUUUGUUGAGUAUGUUGAAGUCGUGUGCUCAAAUCUAUGAAAAAUUAGAGAUAGAGAUAUCUUUCAACGUCAUUGUUCAUAUGGAAAAAAGAGUUAUAGAGGACAACCGAAAAGGAAAGAGAAUCGUUCCUUGAAUUAUUUCAAACAAUGAAAACGUGUCAAGACUCGUUGUUGGAGUUGUCAAGAUCCAUGUUUAUGUAAUAUUCAUUAAACUUGUUGUAUUUUAUAUCUUGUGGAGGUCAUGUAAUUAAUAUAGUUCAUGUAGCUUAUGUAGUAUUUUGUUAGUAUGUUGUGAGAACUUUUGCGGUCUAUUAAUUUAAGUCUGAAUUCCCUUUGAAUUA